rnacentral:rRNA from 1 species
GACAGAGGGUGCAAACGUUGUUCGGAAUUACUGGGCAUAAAGCGCACGUAGGUGGUCCGCUAAGUCGCGUGUGAAAUCCCCCGGCUCAACCGGGGAAAUGCGCGUGAUACUGGCGGGCUUGAGAUCGGGAGGGGUGAAUGGAACUCCAGGUGGAGCGGUGAAAUGCGUAGAUAUCUGGAGGAACACCGGUGGCGAAAGCGGUUCACUGGCCCGACACUGACACUGAGGAGCGAAAGCCAGGGGAGCAAACGGG